UACGUAGGCAGCGAGCGUUGUUCGGAAUUACUGGGCGUAAAGAGUGUGUAGGCGGUGCUCCCAGUCUGUUGUGAAAUCCCCCGGCUUAACUGGGAGGGUGCAGCGGAAACUAGAGUGCUAGAGGGUGGGAGAGGUAAGCGGAAUUCCUGGUGUAGCGGUGAAAUGCGUAGAUAUCAGGAGGAACACCUGUGGUGUAGACAGCUUACUGGACCACUUCUGACGCUGAGACACGAAAGCGUGGGUAGCAAACAGG
rnacentral:rRNA from 1 species